rnacentral:SRP_RNA from 1 species
GCUGGUGUGGUUGUGCACACCUGUAGUUCCAGCUACUUGAGAGGCUGAGGUGGGAGGAUUACUUGAGCUCAGGAGGUCAAGGUUGCAAUGAGCCGUGAUUGUACCACUGAAUUCCAGUCUGGGUGACAGAGCAAGACCCUGUCUUUUUUUUUUUUUUUUUUUUUUGAGGCGGAGUCUGGCUCUGUCACCCAGACUGGAAUUCAGUGGUACGAUCUCGGCUCAUUGCAACCUUGACCUCCUGGGCUCAAGUCAUUCUCCUGCCUCAG